rnacentral:piRNA from 1 species
UCCAGAUCGUCACUAGACAACAGUG